GAUGAACGCUGGCGGCGUGCCUAACACAUGCAAGUCGAACGAGAUCUUCGGGUCUAGUGGCGCACGGGUGCGUAACGCGUGGGAAUCUGCCCUUUGGUUCGGAAUAACAGUUGGAAACGACUGCUAAUACCGGAUGAUGACGAAAGUCCAAAGAUUUAUCGCCAGAGGAUGAGCCCGCGUAGGAUUAGCUAGGUGGUGUGGUAAAGGCGCACCAAGGCGACGAUCCUUAGCUGGUCUGAGAGGAUGAUCAGCCACACUGGGACUGAGACACGGCCCAGACUCCUACGGGAGGCAGCAGUGGGGAAUAUUGGACAAUGGGCGAAAGCCUGAUCCAGCAAUGCCGCGUGAGUGAUGAAGGCCUUAGGGUUGUAAAGCUCUUUUACCCGGGAUGAUAAUGACAGUACCGGGAGAAUAAGCUCCGGCUAACUCCGUGCCAGCCGCCGCCGUAA
rnacentral:rRNA from 1 species